rnacentral:hammerhead_ribozyme from 1 species
AUCCAGCCGACGAGUCCCGAAUAGGAUGAAACGCGUGUCCUGGAU